CCUUCGAUAGCUCAGUUGGAAGAGCGUGAGACUGUAAUGGUUAUCUUGUGCUAUCUCAAGGUCGCUGGUUCGAACCCGGCUCGAAGGA
rnacentral:tRNA from 1 species